AGUCUGGGUUUUAAUUAAAAAAUAAACAAACUAGAAAAAAGGCUUGAAAUCGUGACUCCAUAGAAUGAAAAAAUAGCCAUUAUGUAUAUUUAUGUCCAGUAAGAAAGAAAAAAAAAAUAACAGAUCUAAAAUAAACAUUAUGAGUGAAUGUGAGGAGUAGAGGUAAUAUGUUGCUGACUGAGGUGGCACAUCUGUAUCACCACGGUCAAGUGCUCUACUGUGCAUCUGAGGACUGAUGUGUGUUUUUGUCUGUAUUCAAUUUUUAUCCUGAAAUUACUCUUUUUGUUAGUUUAAUAUUCACAGGGGAGAAUCAACGUGGAUGGAUGUGUUUUGUCUUUUGCUCUGUGCAGUGGUAACGCCGGUCACUUGUGUCAACCAUCACCAUUUCAAGCCUUUGCGGUUCAAAUAAAUGACUGAUUACAGAAGUAAAAACAAAGGCGGGGCUUAAACCGUU